AUUGAACGCUGGCGGCAGGCCUAACACAUGCAAGUCGAGCGGAGCGGCGGACGGGUGAGUAAUUCCUAGGAAUCUGCCUGGUAGUGGGGGAUAACGUCCGGAAACGGGCGCUAAUACCGCAUACUAUCAGAUGAGCCUAGUUCGGAUUAGCUAGUUGGUGGGGUAAAGGCAUACCCAGGCGACGAUCCGUAACUGGUCUGAGAGGAUGAUCAGUCACACUGGAACUGAGACACGGUCCAGCAUCCUACGAGGGGCAGCAUUGGGGCAUAUUGGACAAUGGGCGAAAGCCUGAUCCAGCCAUGCCGCGUGUGUGAAGAAGGUCUUCGGCGUGUAAAGCACUUUAAGUUGGGAGGCGUUACCAACAGAAUAAGCACCGGCUAACUUCGUGCCAGCAGCCGCGGUAAUAC
rnacentral:rRNA from 1 species